GACAGAGGACCCAAGCGUUAGGCGGAAUCACUGGGCUUAAAGCGUGUGUAGGCGGAUCGUUAAGUGUCUUGUGAAAUCCCACGGCUCACCCGUGGAACUGCUGGGCAUACUGGCGAGCUUGGGCCAACUAGGGGCAGUCGGAACAAGCGGUGGAGCGGUGAAAUGCGUAGAUAUCGCUUGGAACGCCGAAGGUGAAAACAGACUGCUGGGGUUGCGCCGACGCUGAGACACGAAAGCCAGGGGAGCAAACGGG
rnacentral:rRNA from 1 species